CUAUAGUGGCCUUUAAGGGAAAAAAUGCAGGCAUUGUUUACUAGCCCAAGCCUUUUGCAAGAACAUAGCCCCAGCUGUGACAUCAUGAUCAGCUGCUGCUCUGCUGACCAAGGUCCACACAAUACCCCUAGUCUUUCUCAGUUUAAGGUGAAUGGAUCUGGACUGUCGGAUUAGAUAUCAAACACACACUGGAACAAUCCUCUAAACAAUGCCCACACUGGCCAACGAGGACUCUUUGAUGGUGCUGAUGCUGGAAUGGAUUGCAAGUGUAAGAAAAGCAGCUCACAUGACUGGAAAAGUUGUGCUGCAUUGAAUGCGAAGAUCUCACUUGUCUGGAGUCUUAGCAAGCACAGAGAACGUCAGGAGAAUGUCUGCUAUUCAGCCCCAUUGAAAGUGUUAGUAUCCUGUCUCUGGUGAGGGGGCAAGGAAGCUCCAGAGACAGCUGAAAUCCCAAUUUCUCUUACCUAGCUUCACUACAUGAAAUGCUCCAGGAUUUUCUAGAACAGCAUAUUGUGCCCCUCUGGACAGACUGUUGGAUUUGACAAACCCUCAGCAAUCCUAAGUUUAGUAUUACUCAGUGAAAUCAGUUUUCAAAGGACAGGAUAUUCUCCUAUAUUAUGUGCAUUAGGCUAAGUCUUGCAAAUGAUUUUCCAAGUAAUCAUGCAUUCCCCUCUCCCUCCGCUACAGAAAUUCUGCAAAAUGUGUGAUUUGCAUUGGGCAUAAGUUAUUCAAUGACAUCCCCCUCUUUCUUCCCACGCUAGCUGUUCACCAAAUCCCAACAUCUUCUUCUUAACUUGUCUACCUAUCUCAGCCUCCUUUGCUGUUAGGUGUGGUCAUCUGACUAAGUUCUAGUCAAUGGAAUGUUAGUAGAAAUGAGUGUUACAUGCAGACCUGGCCCAUAAAAAUCUCUCCCCAUGUGAUCUUCCAAGCAAGCUCCAUUCUGCCAACUUGGUGCAAAUGAGCUUAGCAACUUGGAAGCCGUGCGUUGCAGAUGGCAGAGCCACAAGAUGAAAGGGGAGCUUCCUGUCAUUUAAGAACACCUCUCUUUGACUUUAUGGAGAAAUAUACUUCUUUUGUGUUUGAGCCAUUCCACAUUUUGUGAUUUGUUAUAGCAGCUAGGCAUAUUUUAAUUAGCAUUCCUUGCAACCAUCAAAACUCCGCCUUCCGUGGAGAAAGAGAACUUGGGGAUAUGUGGAGAGAACCAUGAGUCAUCAAGGACACACAGUAUAGCCCCCAUCACACCCUCGAGAGCAAGGUGUUUGUUUGAGGAGUCGAAGACAUUCUUUUUCUCUUCAUGGAUCCCUUUCUU
rnacentral:lncRNA from 1 species